CCUACGGGGGGCAGCAGUGAGGAAUAUUGGGCAAUGGGCGGAAGCCUGACCCAGCAACGCCGCGUGAAGGAUGAAGGCCUUCGGGUUGUAAACUUCUUUUAUGGGGGAAGAGAGAGGACGGUACCCCAGGAAUAAGUCACGGCUAACUACGUGCCAGCAGCCGCGGUAAUACGUAGGUGACAAGCGUUAUCCGGAAUUACUGGGCGUAAAGCGCACGCAGGCGGCUGCUUAAGUCUGACGUGAAAUCUCCUGGCUUAACUGGGAGGGGUCGUUGGAAACUGAGUAGCUUGAGGCAGUGAGAGGGGUGUAGAAUUCCCGGUGUAGUGGUGGAAUGCGUAGAUAUCGGGAGGAAUACCAGAGGCGAAGGCGACACCCUGGCACUGACCUGACGCUCAUGUGCGAAAGCGUGGGGAGCGAACGGGAUUAGAUACCCUAGUAGUC
rnacentral:rRNA from 1 species